CCGCCCCUAGCAGGGAUGGCGGCGGCAGCGGCGGCUCGAGCGGUCCUGGUCCCGGCGCUACGGCGCCAGCUGAUGGGCUUCACCCGGAGGCGUCUGGUCGGGGGCGCCGCAGGCCAGGCACUGCAUUUUGGAGGCGGCAGAUUGAGAAGUACACAGGCCGCGACACAAGUUGUGCUGAAUGUGCCUGAGACCCGAGUCACAUGUUUGGAAAAUGGACUCCGAGUGGCCUCUGAAGACUCUGGGCUCUCGACGUGCACGGUUGGGCUUUGGAUUGAUGCUGGAAGUCGAUAUGAAAAUGAGAAGAAUAAUGGAACUGCUCACUUUCUGGAACAUAUGGCUUUCAAGGGCACCAAAAAGAGGUCCCAGUUAGAUCUGGAACUUGAGAUUGAAAAUAUGGGGGCUCAUCUCAACGCCUAUACUUCCAGAGAGCAGACUGUGUACUAUGCCAAAGCGUUCGCUAAGGAUUUACCAAGAGCUGUAGAGAUUCUUGCUGAUAUCAUACAAAACAGUACAUUGGGAGAAGCAGAGAUUGAGCGUGAGCGUGGUGUGAUCCUUAGAGAAAUGCAGGAAGUUGAAACCAAUUUACAAGAAGUUGUUUUUGAUUAUCUUCAUGCCACAGCUUAUCAGAAUACGGCACUCGGACGCACAAUUUUGGGACCAACUGAAAAUAUCAAGUCUAUCAGUAGGAAGGACUUGGUGGAGUACAUAACCACACACUAUAAGGGGCCAAGAAUUGUGCUUGCUGCUGCUGGAGGCGUUUCCCACAAUGAACUGCUUAAGUUAGCCAAGUUUCACUUUGGGGACUCUCUGUCCAGCAACACAGGAGAGAUACCAGUUCUGCCUCCCUGCAAGUUCACUGGAAGUGAGAUUCGUGUGAGAGAUGACAAGAUGCCUCUGGCACACCUUGCGAUCGCUGUUGAAGCUGUUGGCUGGGCGCAUCCAGACACUCUGUCUCUCAUGGUCGCAAACACACUGAUUGGCAACUGGGAUCGCUCUUUUGGCGGAGGACUGAACUUAUCUAGCAAGCUGGCCCAACUCACCUGUCAUGGCAACCUCUGCCAUAGCUUCCAGUCUUUCAACACUUCCUACACAGAUACAGGAUUGUGGGGACUCUAUAUGGUUUGUGAACCAGCCACCAUUGCAGACAUGCUACAUAUUGUUCAAAAGGAAUGGAUGCGGCUCUGUACAGGUGUCACCGAGAGUGAAGUUGCAAGAGCCAAAAAUCUUCUGAAAACAAACAUGUUGCUGCAGCUCGAUGGCUCGACUCCCAUUUGUGAAGAUAUUGGCAGGCAAAUGUUAUGUUAUAAUAGAAGAAUUCCCAUUCCUGAGCUUGAAGCAAGAAUUGAUGCUGUCACUGCUGAGACAGUUCGAGAAGUGUGCACCAAGUAUAUUUACGAUAAAAGCCCAGCUGUUGCUGCUGUGGGUCCCAUCGAGCAACUACCAGAUUUUGACAGGAUUCGCAGUAAUAUGUGCUGGGCUCGUGGUUAAAGUGAUCCUCCAAACAUUUUCAACACUCAUUUGAUAAAACUAGCAGACAGGCACUGCUUCCGCUAUCUUCUCCCAUCUCUCAGGCGUAUUUACUGGGUAGGUUUUCAGAGCUUGCUCCAAAAGCUUCUGCUCUUCCGUCGUCCACGGGGUGAGAUCUGUGCAUGGAGCUGCUGAAGAAAAAUGUUAUUUGAAAGAAAACUUACUCUAAUUGCCAAGUGCCCAUUCAACACUGGAAUAAAUAAUGCUGAACUCACUUUCAGAAAUGAGACACAUCAAAAAGUCAGUGCUCGUGAGAGAUGGAAAAAGGCUUAUGCUAAUGAAUUGCAGAAAAUUAAAUAUGUCAAGGUCUUUUAAAACACAGUUUAAACCUGAUUUAUAAUGCUGAUCUUUUAUAACCUAAUACUUUACUCACUAGACCUCAAACAAAUAAAAGAAAACCCAUAUAAGGUGAUGGUAUAGUUUGGCUAGUGAAGAUUAGGACAGGAAAAAAGGACUCCCUCACACUUACUGAAGGCUUCAGCUGGAUCAACAACCAUUCCCAUUUUACAAAAACAUGUUGGAACAAAAUGAAGCAUCCCAGCUCGCUCUGGAGGCAGGGCAGCAAUUACGGUUAAUGUGCUACCUGUUCACACCCUGAAGGCUCCGGAGCCAGUGUUGAGGACCACUGGGGCUACGGUUACUCCAUAUAUCACUAGUAAACAUCUCACACGUUUUCUAGGAAUACAUUCUUUUUAAGGCUGCAAGUAUACACAGCCAACACUGUACUGACAGUGGUCCUUGUAGGAAAAACAGGAACGUUAAACGGUAGGCAGUUGAUUUGGCUCUUUGGUUAGUAGCUGACACUGGCAGGCAGUUUCAGAUCAUGCAGUGAAAAUGCAAUAGCAAAAAAAAAAGAAAAGAAAAUGCAAUAGCACCUAAAGCAUAGGUUUCCAAAUUUAUUUUGUCAGAAAAAUAACUCCGCAUUCCCUGGCAAUGAAAAUGGUUCAUACUAUAUCCCAUAAUCCAGGAAAAAGGGAAGAUAGCUGUUAUACAGUGCCCUUUUUGCUCCUGCACCCCUAGGGGGGGCGGUAUUGCCCACUUCGGGAAACACUGACCUACAAUAUCAAUAUUCUGAAAUUUUAUCCUCAAAGAUUCUACUUAAGCCUAGAAACCAAAGUUUUCUCCCAAUUUAAGAAGAGUGACAGGUUGAAAACACAAACCCAACGUAUUCAAAACGGCACAUGUAUAGAACCUGGUUGUGUGUUGGGUUUCGAUCUGUAAGGUAGCAUUCUGAAACCACCAGUUAGUAUUCAAGAUAAGGGGAGAGACUGAGCUUUCUAUUCUACUGUCAUGAAGGCCUCAGAUUCACGGGGCAGUUCUACCUCGUCAUAUAGGGUCAUGGCAGUCAGUGGGUUUUCAUAGUUAUCUGGAAUUAAAGAAUUGAAAAGCUUACAAAUUAGCUUUAAAAUUCCAAGAAGCCCUUAGUUAAGUUGCCUCUUAAUUAGUCUGGCCCACCUCAACACCACAGAUAUGCCUUUUUUGUGGAAAAAGAUGGAAAUGUCAUGUUCCUCUUGCUCAUCAGCUUUUAUACUACCACCAUAAAAACAUGUUUGCAGAAUUCCUGUGCACAAGUCCUUACAAAGAGGUGAAGGCCUCCUGCCCUCCCUGGGCUCCCCCCACCCCCACGGGAAAGUGAACUGCUUGAGAAACCGCUCUGAGGGUCUGCCUCCAUCAUGGAAACAAGACCCAGCAACAUGGUUAAUAGUAUAACAAAUGUUGGAUUUUUAAAAGGGUUUAGGACGGAGUGCUUAUCCCUGAAUGUUGUAUAUUUUGUGGAUGGUUUAAAAGAACAAAACCCAGGAUCCCCAAAUGUGAACGUGUUCCUAUCUGCUUAUUCUCCCUUCUAUCCCCAAAUACCCUGCUUGCGUUUUGCACUGAUUAGUAAAAUCCACUGAACAAAACAUAGCCUAAUAGCAUCUGAAAAGAAUGAGCUACAACAUCUGAUUAGUUAUGAGCAUUGUGGAAAAUGCUUGCUUUACAAACCUUCGAACCGUUCUGAAGGUGUUGCAUCAUCUGUUUGAGGUACCACUCCGUGUUCCUUUUUAAAUUUAUCAAAAGCCUUUUUGUUUAUGUCAUCUUUUUGAUGAGGAUCUGAAAAAUGUUUUAAUGCAUUAAAGUCCUUAAAAUUACAGAUUUUAAAAAGUAUUAAAGAUAGCAAAGAAAUUGAUUUCUCACAACUAACUCACCAAGUUUUUGGAGACUCUUUGCUUUGCCAAUAACGUCCUUGGCAUUUCUCUUGACACCAGAUGAUGAAUGUAUGUUCAUGUAAUUGGCAAUAACUUCCCAUCUACAACAACCAAUAGAAUAGUUUAAUGAUGGCUACAGGGUAAAAACAACAAAAACCAGCACCCUUAUUUUUUAUGGCAGGAGGGAGUUAGUUGAGCUCAACUAGUUAGUUCAACUAGUCCUAUAGGUCUGGCUCAACUAGUGGUAUAAUUGCUACUACUGCCUAUAGUUUUCCAUGUUUAAACAAUGGUAUAUUAUCUUGGAAUAAAGUUUGUACAAAACCGUA